rnacentral:rRNA from 1 species
AUUAUUUCCGGCCGCGGUACCCUAACCGUGCAAAGGUAGCACAAUCACUUGUUCUUUAAAUAAGGACUAGUAUGAACGGCACCACGAAGACCAUGCUGUCUCCUUUUUCUAAUCAGUGAAACUGAUCUCCCCGUGAAGAAGCGGGGAUUAUUUUAUAAGACGAGAAGACCCUAUGAAGCUUAAAAUUUUCAUCAACUGCCCCCCAUACACCACCUUAACCUGGCAGACCUGAUUACUAAUUUUUGGUUGGGGUGACCGCGGAGCAAAAUUAAACCUCCACAAUGAAAGGAUUAAACCCCUUAUUCAAGAAUCACACUUCUAUAAAUCAAUAUAUUGACAUAAAUUGAUCCAAACCUUUGAUCAAUGAACCAAGUUACUCUAGGGAUAACAGCGCAAUCCAUUUCAAGAGCCCCUAUCGACAAAUGGGUUUACGACCUCGAUGUUGGAUCAGGGUGUCCUAGUGGUGCAACCGCUACUAAAGGUUCGUUUGUUCAACGAUUAAAACCCUACGUGAUCUGA